UCAGAACAGGUGGAGACCCAGAACGAAUCUCCGCUGACCCGAAUGGCCGCGACGGCGACCCGGUCAUCUCUCCACCGUCCGGCCAUCUCAGGUGGUGGACUACCGGCGUUAGAAUCGGCUCGUUGUCCCCUAUGUCCCUGUGGUAUUUGUUUUUCCAGAAAAGCUAUGGUGAGAGAGAAUCGAAUGAGAGAAUAAAUGGCGGUUUCCGAGAAGUUCCUCCGGCGUCCGACCAAAUCACGGCAUAUCACCGGUGUCGACAGCUUCGUCUCGAUGUCGCCUACCUCCCUGCGCUCUUUUUUUUGUUCAAAAAACGACCGACGACGAAGAAACGAAGCUCGAAGUGUGCAAUGGUUUUCCGGCAGUUUUCUGGGUAUUUUCCGGCGAUGUUUUGUUUCAACUCAGGCAUGAAAUUUGGUGCCGGAGAUUUUGAUUUUCCUUUGGCCAAUUUCUGAUCAUGAUAUGAAGCUUUGAACAUGAAAUGAUCAAAUUGUUAUCCCUCAAAUCCGAGAACUUGCACAAGUAGAAAUCCCCAGUGAUCAAGAGCAUAAUCCCAAAAAGUGAUCAAGGACGCUUCUUUAGUAUUUCAUUAGAGAAUGUUUCACUUGGAGAUACUUCCAUUGGAUACGUCGUAUUGGACAUCCGAUUGAUGAGAUUUACUGUCAAGUCUCUGAUUGAUGAUGCAUCGUCAGGCAUUUCUAUCGGUGCCCAAGGGAACUCUCUUAGUGCAAAUGCCGCUGGGAUCAACUCACUGCCUUCCAUGUUUCAGGCUGGUAGUACACCCCCACUUUCACCAAGCCUAAUUUGGUGGAUGACAAAUCUGUGAAGUGUGAACUCAGUGAAACUAUGCAAGAUUGGAACAGUUUGGUGGUUGUUAUCUGUCACAUGCUCUCAUUGUAGUGUGGAUAUGAAUCAAGUAGAUAGCUGCUCUUUAUACUAGUCAGGUUCUUGGCCAUCAAGCAAAACAAACAUAAUUAACUCUCUAUAGAUAUUUUUGUUCAUACCUAUCAUUUUAUGACUUGAUCACCAAGCAUUCAACACAUAUACUUGCGCUGUUGCAGUAA